GCUACAGUUACGGAACAUCAAAACAGUAUCAUCAUCAUCAGUUUCAUAAAUUCAGAUUCUACAUUCCUUCCGCAGAAGUUAUUACUGUUGGGCGCACUGUACCCUCUGUGCACCACCAGGCAUAUCAUCAUCCUCCUCAUAUGCUUCCUGAGCAGCUUGUUGCUGCCUCCUCCUAGACUCCUCAUCCAUAUUGACAUCAUGAAGUGUGGUCUCCUCACAUUCGUCCAGCUCCAUGUCUGUUAACUGAGAAGGCUGCUUUGGGGGCAGAACGGCUUCCAAAGCCUUAACCUGAUCAGGAUUUAGAAAAUCUGGGAAUUCCACAGUGAAGUGAAGAUAAAGCUUCCCCUUCAUGAAUGGCCUCUGGUACAUGGGCAUCCCCUCGUCAUUAAUAGCCUUGUAUGAAUCUGCAUGUGUAGACCUUACAAAAGUUAAUGAUCACAGAUAAAUAGAAACCUAAAAGGAUUACAUGUGAAUCAUUUAUGUACCAGGUUUCACAACUUCCCCAGGAUUUGAUUUGAUAAGAAGCUGACGGCCAUCCAAGUGGGUCAGGACAAAUUGGAAACCACACAAAGCCUCAGUGAGAGACAAGGUGUGCUCAACAAAAAGAUCUUCAGCCUUUCUUCUGAAUUUAGGAUGCUCCUUCUGCUGAAGCACAAAGACAAUAUCCCCAGUAAUUGUGUCCGGCUGCACACACAAACAAUCAUUAAACGUCAGAUAAACUAUGUAAUCAAUAAUCAUAAACUAAAUGCCAAUAAGUAUCACAGCAUACCGCUUCAUCAGCUUCACCAGGGAAUGUAAUCUUCUGCCCAUUCUGCAUCCCCUUUUCCACAAUUACUUCAAGAACUUUCUUCUCCUGCAC
rnacentral:lncRNA from 1 species